rnacentral:rRNA from 1 species
UUAUUAAUAUAAUAUUUAAUCCUUUCGUACUAAAAUAUUUCUUAUAUUUAAGAUAGAAACCAACCUGGCUUACACCGGUUUAAACUCAGAUCAUGUAAAAUUUCAAAGGUCGAACAGACCCAAUUUUUUAGCUUCUCCGCCAAAAAUUAAUUUUAAUCCAACAUCGAGGUCGCAACCCCUUUUUUCAAUACGUACUAUUAAAAAAGAUUACGCUGUUAUCCCUAAGGUAAUUUAAUCUUUUAAUCAUUUUUAUGGAUCAAUUAUUCAAUUAUUAUUGUAAAAAUAAAAAAAAAGUUAAAUUAAUUUUUUUGUCACCCCAACAAAACUUAUUUAAAAAUAUUAAAUUCAUAAUUCUAAAUUAAAUAAUCCUAAAUUUAGUUAAACUCUAUAGGGUCUUCUCGUCUUUAAAUAAAAUUUAAGCUUUUUUACUUAAAAAUAAAAUUCUUUAAUUUAAAUUGAAACAGUAAUUUUCUCAUCAAACCAUUCAUACAAGCUUUCAAUUAAAAAACUAAUGAUUAUGCUACCUUUGCACAGUCAAAAUACUGCGGCCCUUUAAAAAUUCAGUGGGCAGGCCCUACUUUAAAUUAUAUUC